rnacentral:rRNA from 1 species
GACGAACGCUGGCGGCGUGCUUAACACAUGCAAGUCGAACGGACAGGCCCUGAUUUUGUGGGGUGCUCGAGUGGCGAACGGGUGAGUAAAACGUGAGUGAACUGCCCUUGACUUUGGGAUAACUUCAGGAAACUGGGGCUAAUACCGGAGAGGAGAUCCUGAAGCACGGGGGUGGUUGGAAAGUUUCGGCGGUUGGGGAUGGAAUCGAGGCUUAUCAGCUUGUUGGUGGGGUAGUGGCUUACCAAGGCUAUGACGGGUAGCCGGCAUGAGAGGGUGACCGGCCACCUUGGGACUGCGAUACGGCCCAGUCGCCUACGGGAGGCAGCAGUGGGGAAUAUUGCACAAUGGGCGGAAGCCUGAUGCAGCAACGCCGCGUGCGUGAUGCCGGCUUUCGGGUUGUAAACCGCUUUCUCCUGUGACGAAGCGUGAGUGACGGUAAUGGGUAAAGAAGCACCGGCUAACUACGUG